rnacentral:ncRNA from 17 species
UCUUUAUCCAGAGCAGACUGAGGGAUCAGGCCCAACGAAGCUGCGGCAACCGGCGGAAGCCUCCGCUACGGUGCCAACUCCUGCGGUUAGUCAGUAACCGAAAGAUAAAGG